AGUUCUGAAAGCAAGAAUCCAAAAAGCGAUUUAUCAUGGCAGUGAUGAGAGGUCUUGUGCUUCUUUUCUUGGUCCUUUCUGUGGAGAAUGCAGCAGUGUUACAGCGAGUUAAUCUCUAAU